CAAAAAAAGGAGUGAGAGAGAGCAAGCGAGACAGAAACACCAAAGCCGACAGAAAACCCGCGCGACGAACUGUUGCGACACAGAGCGAAGAGCGCGGCGAAGGCUGGCGGCGAGCGCACAGUGAGCUCCCGCACCUCGGAGCCGGCGGCCAGCACGACGGCGGCCCCCAGCCCCCCACCAUGAACACCAUCGUCUUCAGCAAGCUCAGCGGCCAGGUGCUUUUCGAGGAGGACGCCAAGGAGCGGGAGCGGAGCGGCCGGUCCUACGUGGGGGUGGUGGAGGGCCCGCACCACGCCGAGGUGCUGCUCCCCGACAGCCCGUCCAUCAAGGAGAGCCUCAGCCUGCGCAACCGGCGGACGGGGGCGCGGCAGAGCGGCGGGAAGGUGCGGCACAAGCGGCAGGCGCUGCAGGACAUGGCGCGGCCGCUCAAGCAAUGGCUCUACAAGCACCGCGACAACCCAUACCCCACCAAGACGGAGAAGAUUCUGCUGGCCCUCGGCUCCCAGAUGACCCUGGUGCAGGUAUCAAACUGGUUUGCCAAUGCAAGACGUCGCCUGAAGAACACUGUCAGGCAGCCAGACCUGAGCUGGGCUUUACGAAUAAAACUGUACAACAAAUAUGUUCAGGGAAAUGCUGAGCGACUCAGUGUGAGCAGCGAUGACUCGUGCUCUGAAGAUGGAGAAAAUCCUCCGAGAAACCAUAUGAAUGAAGGGGGAUAUAACAAACCAGUUCAUCACACUGUGAUUAAAACUGAAAGUUCAGUAAUAAAAACAGGAGUGAGACCAGAAGCAAGUGCCAAUGAGGAUUAUGUGUCACCCCCCAAAUACAAAAGCAGCUUACUGAAUCGUUACCUAAAUGACUCAUUGAGACAUGUCAUGGCUACUAAUGCAGCUAUGAUGGAAAAAACAAGGCAAAGGAAUCAUUCUGGUUCAUUUAGUUCCAAUGAAUUUGAGGAAGAACUGGUGUCUCCAUCAUCAUCAGAGACAGAAGGCAAUUUUGUCUAUCGGACAGAAAAUCUGGAAAAGUAAAAAACAUUCAAACAGAAAGCGAUCAGAUAAACAUUUGAAGAUAAACUAGCUGAAAAGAAACACAAAAAUAGGUAAAGCAAAAUUGCAAUGAGGCAUGAAAUUUGUUUUCCUGAAUUUUUCACAGUGGCCUUGAAACCUGAUGUCAGCGGCUCCAUCUCUGUUCUUUCACUGAUGGCCAGAAAUUGAGGUUAUGAUGACCAGAUCGUUUGGUAUGGCACUGGCAUGUCAAGUUGAAAGGAAUUGCCAAGAUUCUCAGUUAUGACACUAAAAUAUACCAGUAUUUCUAGAGCCAAUUUUCAGUCCCUCCCUCAUGCCUCCACAUUGAUUUAGGCAACAGAUGCACAAAAAGCAAAGCAACAUUCAAAAUAGUCCCCUAGCUGAGGCUGGGGGAAGGCUGGCUAGUGGGCUGUAGCCAAAAUUCCUUAAAUGUUACAAUGUUUUACAUUUCUAAAUGUAAAAACUUUCUUUCCAAUGUGAGGUACCAGCCAAAUGUCUUAGUUACGGUAUCUCGGAGUGAAAACUGGCAUGUGGCCUUGUGGUCAUUUGUGGGUAUUGACAGAUUUACACCCUCGAAGAUCAAGUUAAACGUUGUUGGUUUCUCCAUCUCCCCUUACUUUGUCACGGUGUUUUUUUCUCUCUGUUACAAAUAGUAAUUUGUCAACUUAAAUCCAGUUUGCUGGAAAAAUGAAGGCUCUUCACGACCUGGCUCUUCAGGAGCAAAUUGCCUCAAAUUCUUUCUGCUAGCCAAGGUAUUUUGUAAUGCAUUGCAAAACAGCGGCAGGACUGCGCUCCUUGCACUGGAUGUACUUUGUGGGCCAGACACUGCGGGCAGUUUUAAUGAGGUCUCGGUGUGCUGGGGAAUUCAUCUCAGCCCUUGACUUCAGGGAGACUUUUAUCCCAGGUCCCUGUUUGUGUAAUUGCUCUUUCUACCCCAAGGAGCAGGAUCUGGCUUGGUCCCAUUGUGGGCUGCACCAUGCAGAGUCUGGACUGGUGGCUGCUCAGGGUUCUGGAUCUGGUGUGCAAAGCCAAUGGUCUGCUCCUGACUAUUUAUGGCAGCUUUGCACUGUGGUGGUGGGUUGUCCUUUAUACAGACACACUAAAAUCAUUGUCCUGUUUUUCUCCCUUUCAUGCUUUUUAGCUGGCAUAGGUGUUGAUUUUUGCAUCAAAUUAAAAUUUCCCUGGGAUCAUCUUCAAAUAGGAGCUUCCUCCCUAAGACAACAGCCCUCGUUCCUUUAUCAGGGAAAGCUCUGGGUGUCUGCAGCACUGUUGUGCCAGCAGAGUCAGAGAGAGCCACGUGCAGCCUGUGAAACUUGUGUCAGCUGGGGGAGCAGGGGUGCUGGGUGAAGCCUGGAGCCCCUCUCUAUCUGCAAUGUCAUAAUUACAAUCAUUCUGGCCCUCCUGCUUGUUGAAUGUCAGUAGUGCUGGGUGUUUAGGGACACUUUCUGAAGGGAAGAGAAACCAAAAAAGCUGUCCUGCUCUGGCCAGCACUUGAGAUUGUAGUGGUGUUGCUCAGAGCUGGGCAGAAGUUUACUAUGGCAGUGAAUUUUGCAAAGACAGAGGAAAAGAGGCUCCCAACUGUAUUGUCUACAAAAAAUUAAAUAUCUUCCUUCCAAAUUCUUGCUGAGUUGCUCCAGAUUGCCCCUGCAAAGCUGAAAAUCCUUUUCACAAAAGUCAGCACAGAAGACAAAGCUAACCUUCAGUACCAGUCAUUAGAACAGAGAACAUCUUGCUCCCUUGGUUUUAAAGGUCACAGCAUUUGGAGCUCAGAGAGGCUUUGGAGAGAAUUCAAAUAGGAGUCCUGAUCAAAAAUUUGUCUUUCAGUAAUUACAUCAAAGAAAGAAAAAUGAGGAUCCAGUUGGAAAUGGAUGAAGUAAAAAAAGACAGAUGUGAUACUAAAGAAGACAACACAAUUGAGAAGCAAUUUUGAUUGAGAAUUGCAAUCACUGGAUAUGGUAGAAUAUUCCUGGAUUUUGUUCUCUCUACCGAAAUGCAGAUUCCACAAAUAAAGCAGAGGGUGUUUCUCCCAGGUCUAUUUGAGCAAUGUGGGAUCUUAAUGUUAACCAAAGUAAUAUGGAAAAGUCCUUGAUGCCAGGUUUUUAGAUACUUUUUUGUUCCUUCUGGGCAGCUGCUCCUUGGGGUCUAAGUGUAUGGAUACUCACAGUGUCGGUGUCCUGAUUUGUAUUCUGGAAUCUUUGCUUCUCCAUAAAGGCUACUGAGUCUUAUAAAAAUAAAAAUAAGCCCCCAAAAUGGGCCUCUGGGUGUUUGAAGGGUGCAAGGCAAGUACCAAUUGCAAAGCUUAGGACCAUUCAGGCAGAAGUCUCCUUUUGUUACGACAGCCUGAGGCAGUGUUGGAGGUGUGAGAGGAAGGGUGAGUGUUGCUGCAAAUGGGGCUGGGGGUGGUCAGCAGCCUUCAGGUUGCUUUGAGCAGCUCUCAGGAUGCUCCUACCUGAGGCAGUAGUUGCCUAGGAAGUGCUACCCAGAGAGAGUUUUUUAAAAGAUUUGCUGAGCCUGGAGUCACAGUUUUUGGUUGAUGGUGUCAGCCAGCACUAGCCAAGACCUGCCUAUGAUCUGGGUGAGCCACAACCAGUGCUGCUCAGAGGGGCUGGUUUUGCCAGAACCUUUCCAGUCUGUUAGUCUGAAGUGACGUGUUGGUGCCACCCAGCUAGGCUGGAUUUUGUGCAUCCUGAUGAAUCUGUACUAUCAAAUACAGCAUUUGCUGGUGGUUCAAGGUCUGUUUGCCCUUUGUUGGAGAAGGGCAGUGGGCAGGAAUUCAGGCACUGUCCACACAUGGGAUUUGCUCUGUCUGCUUUGUAUGCCCUUUGCAGAGCUCCAUAAACUUCACAGACUGUGAUGUAUAGGCAUUUGUUCUAUGGGAAGGCUUUGGCUCACGGGCAAAAA